GGAUGUGAGGGUGAUCUGGCCGCAGCCUCUAUUCACCACUGAUAGCCAAGGGAUAUUCAGUUGGCUCUCCUCCUCCUUUACCUCUUCAGUAAGGUCCCUCCUGAAGUUGUACUUUCUUGGUUAAGGAGAGAAGCAAUGGAUUUGUUCUCCUCCACAAUAGGGCUAUGGGAGAACCGUCUCCACGAAGCUCCGACUGACCACUUCACCUGGAAAUGGCCUCAUGCC
rnacentral:sRNA from 1 species